rnacentral:rRNA from 1 species
UACGGGGGGAGCAAGCGUUGUUCGGAUUUACUGGGCGUAAAGGGCGCGUAGGCGGCGUGGCAAGUCACUUGUGAAAUCUCCGGGCUUAACUCGGAACGGUCAAGUGAUACUGCUGUGCUAGAGUGCGGAAGGGGCAACUGGAAUUCUUGGUGUAGCGGUGAAAUGCGUAGAUAUCAAGAGGAACACCUGCGGCGAAGGCGGGUUGCUGGGCCGACACUGACGCUGAGGCGCGAAAGCAUGGGGAGCGAACAGG